rnacentral:lncRNA from 1 species
AACUAUCCCUUCCUUUGUCUUGACAUAUCUGAAAGACGAUAAUUCAACUACUAACAAAUCUUCCUCGCCACACACAAUAACUAGCUUAUCCUAGAACCUAAACUUAAUCAUCUGGUGCAAUAUGGAAGUUACUGCCCUAAUGGCAUGAAUCCAUGGCCUUCCCAAUAAUAAACUAUGGACUGGAUUUAUAUUCAUAAUCUGGAAAGUAA